AAAGAAAUAGCUCUGUAAGUGGCAAUUUGGGUUCCAAGUACUUAGAAUUUUGGUGAAUCCCUUUUGUUUCAGAAGAAUUAACAAACUCUGGAAUCACUCUGUGCAGCAAGCGUAAACAUUAUUUCUUGAACAACUUUAUGUACUAUUGAAAAGUCAGAUUCAUUGUUCCAUUCAAAUAUAUUAAAACUAUAUGAAGAGCUAAUGUGGAAAAACUCAGCUCAUAGGAAUACAAAAUAACUUCUUCUGAAACUUCCCAUAUGCAGAAUAUUAAGAAUUUUUAAUUUUUUAUUUUUUUUUUUACAAAAGUUAACUCGAUGCAGUACGCAGUAAGCAUAUGUGAGAAUCUGUGGUUCUCACACAUACCUAUACUGCAUACAUUAUGCAUAACAGAAAUAUAGGCAAUCUUUGAAAUUAACAAGAGGGGUUUUUUCCUAAUAAAUGUUUUAAACUACCGUACCACCAAUAGCAAACUACUGCUAGAUAUUUUAAAGUUAUUAUGUUCAAGAACACUUUAAAAAUAUUAUUUAUAAUCAUGAAUAUUAUUUUGAUGCUUUAGGUUUUUAUUUAAACACUGCACGUGUUUCAUUCUGAUUCCUGGCAUCAUACCACAACUCCAGUUUCUUCAGCUCAGACAGCGACAACUGUUUAGGUGUCCGAAAACCCACAAAUCACAGUAUCAGUGGAGGUAUGGAUCACUAAGCCUAUUAACAGGCUCGUUUUUCUUACACAUCGAUUGAAAACACAGUGCGCAAACCUUCCAGGAUUCCACAACUUGCAGGCAGAAAGCCACCAAUCUUAAAAAAAAUACAUCCCGUUAUUGCUUCCUUAUUUAAUUUGGCUGGCUAAAAAGUUACUGCUCAAACUGGCAAAAGUAAAAUCUGGCAAACCCAGGCCUAUAGUAGACACGUUUGCUGAUACAACAGUGUCAUUCAGGAUGUGAGUUUCUGGAUUUCUAAGCAAGCAACCAGCAUCCUUUUUGAGAAAAUCAUUUUGGAUUAGAAGUCACCUUGCUGGGACAGCUCACCAAGUAAAAGCGCUUUUCCCAGAGACUGCAUUAUAAACUCUACAUAUGCCAGGAAGAUUUGGCUGUUCACCAUUAAUAGCAGCAUACCUUUCACCCAGCACUCAGAAACUGCAGAGACUUUUAGAGAGAAAGCCCGUAUCAUCAGAACUUCUCUGCACGGAUUAACCCCGAAGCAGCACCCGUGUUCAGAACAAGGCUACGCAGCUGCAGCACCCCAGCCAGUUCAUUUAAAAGACACUCGGCUGCCGCCCUCCCACACCGCGCGCGGCAGAGCCUCGCCACCAUCGCUACAUCUGCUGGCCAACACUCACCACGGUUACUUGCAGAGCAUAAAGCACAAUAAGGAUCUUUCCUCCCUGGAGUUACUAAAUAUGUACUGCUGGUGUCACAACAGCGCAGAUCUGCCAGCGUUUCCUCUGAAAUCUCUUUCUUCAUAAAUUUAACUCGACAGAGAAAAACACCAAGUGAAACAUAACUUCUCUCUAGGCUUGGGAAUAAUGCCGAUUGUGAUUUGGUUUUACCUAACAAGUAUCUGCUGAAAAAAUAAAUCAAGUGAGGAAGUUUUUUGUUCUCAUUUUAACUUCCCACAGCCUCAUCACUAUGGCUUCCAAGUGCAUUUGCUGGUUGUUUUUUUUCUUAACAACCACAAAUAACUCUACAGAAUGUCAUCUGGUAAACACUUUAUUCAGAUCACCUCUUUACAGUCAUAGUCUCCACAUUCUCAUUUUAAAAACUUAAUUAGUGUAAUCUAUUUUUGUAGUAUCCCAUUAUCUACCCUCUAAAUCUAUACAAUAAACCUUCCUACACUAUAUACCCAAUAAAACUGAUGCCUUUUGAGCACAUAUUUACAGAAUUAGCCACAAAGUCUUCUUCAAAAUUCCCUCCCAUGUCAAGCUGAGCAAUUAAACUACACGUAAACGCAGCAUACAAUCUGAGGCAAGUCUAUUAACAUUUCGUUUCUCCAAAAGUUUUUGCAGGCCUUAACACACGCUUACGCAACCCAGUGUUUAAACUACCUGCAAUUAUUUGGGAGAGUCACCCAGUGAUUAGAGCAGAGGCCCAGCAGCCAGGAUGGCUGGAUUCCAUUAUUGCUAACUCUGUCACUGACACUCCGUGACCUUGAGCAAGUUGGUUAACCUCACCUCAAUUUGCUAAUCUAUGAAGGCACAUAUUCUGCAAAGCAUUUAAGUGGGCAGAUAGUCACAUUUAAACUGGCAGAACUACUCGGCAAAGCCUGGGCUGAAAUAUGCUAUUGUUUACCUCUUCACAGGGUGAUGAGAAGUUUAAUUAGUAACUGUCUCCAGGAUGCUGUAAAAUGAAAUAGUCUCAGAAUGUUACGUAUUAGCAUGGAUGACUACAACAUAUAUAAAUCAUGCUGAGACUGAUAGCAAUUUAAUAGAUUUAAAUAUAUGCAAAUAACUUUACUUUUGCAAAUGCUGAGAAGGUGACUGUAAC